rnacentral:rRNA from 1 species
UUACUGGGCGUAAAGCGCAUGCAGGUGGUUUGUUUAAGUCAGAUGUGAAAGCCCCGGGGCUCAACCUCGGAAUAGCAUUUGAAACUGGCAGACUAGAGUACUGUAGAGGGGGUAGAAUUUCAGGUGUAGCGGUGAAAUGCGUAGAGAUCUGAAGGAAUACCGGUGGCGAAGGCGGCCCCCCUGGACAGAUACUGACACUCAGAUGCGAAAGCGUGGGGAGCAAACAGGAUUAGAUACCCUGGUAG